UACGUAGGGCGCGAGCGUUGUCCGGAAUCAUUGGGCGUAAAGAGCUCGUAGGCGGCCGGUUGCGUCUGCUGUGAAAUCCCGGGGCUUAACCCCGGGCGUGCAGUGGAUACGGGCUGGCUGGAGGCAGGCAGGGGAGAAUGGAAUUCCCGGUGUAGCGGUGAAAUGCGCAGAUAUCGGGAGGAACACCGGUGGCGAAGGCGGUGCUCUGGGCCUGUGCUGACGCUGAGGAGCGAAAGCGUGGGGAGCGAACAGG
rnacentral:rRNA from 1 species